rnacentral:lncRNA from 1 species
AUAAGUUGUAGCACAGAUUUUUGCCAAAGUACCUUUUGCAAAAUCAAGAAAGCUGCCAAAUUUUGACAGACGGGAAUUUGACAAACUGAGGCUCUCCCCAGAGAAGGCAAACGUACGGAGAAAGGCACGUGUGAGGCUACGCUUAUUGGUUUCUGUACAGGUUCUUGAUGCGGCGGGGUGAAGCAGCACAGAUUGCACAGCUCUUGCCUUGACUGUUCUCUCUCUCUCUCUCUCAAAAUUUCAUUUCUUUUUCAAUCCAGUUCUAUUAAAGUCUAUGCUAUGCACUGCUACUACAACAGUUCCAACAUAUAAUAAUAUUCAUUAUUGCAGAGCAAUCGAUGUCUUCAAAUUACAAAAUCAUCCUUACUUUUCGCAUUUCUCUGACUUGGUUUGGUGGGUUUUGGAUCAUGUAAGUAAAGCUACCUUCUUUUCUGCACAGCAUACAAAGCCCCGUGUUUUUGGCUUUUGCGGAGUAGUGGUACAACGCAAUGCGCAAUUCUCAUACCAAAGUGGUACUCAACUCAUCAAUAACCCAACAGCGAUUGUCCCAACUGCCAAAGGCUAGCCACGAUUUCUUCCUAAAUUAGUGGUUUGAAUUGUGAAUGCAUUUAACUGUGUAACCAACAAUCAUUGGUACAUAACGAUUUAUGAGGUAAGCCAUCUAGAGUUUAU